rnacentral:misc_RNA from 1 species
AAUUCUCAACCUCACCAGUUUUGUAACGAGACUGUGUAAGGCUUGGAUGUGGGGGUUUGUGCAGGGCUGCCUCAGUGCGGUCUGCUCCCCUGAAAUGCAUUAGCGAGUUCAAACUGAGCUCUGUCUAUUGGUGUGAUAAUUAUCUACGCCGUGGACUUUGCUUAGACUUGCUUCUAAUCGUCCUCACGGACAAUACCUUGACA